rnacentral:rRNA from 1 species
UACGGAGGGUGCAAGCGUUGUCCGGAUUUAUUGGGUUUAAAGGGUGCGUAGGCGGCUGAUUAAGUCAGCGGUGAAAGACUUCGGCUUAACCGGAGCAGUGCCGUUGAUACUGAUUGGCUUGAGUGUUGGAGGGGUACAUGGAAUUGAUGGUGUAGCGGUGAAAUGCAUAGAUACCAUCAGGAACACCGAUAGCGAAGGCAUUGUACUGGCCAACAACUGACGCUGAGGCACGAAAGUGUGGGGAUCGAACAGGAUUAGAUACCCUGGUAGUCCACACUGUAAACGAUGAUUACUCGCUGUUAUGGUGUAUACUGUAGCGGCCAAGCGAAAGCGUUAAGUAAUCCACCUGGGGAGUACGCCGGCAACGGUGAA